AAAUUCGUUUUUAUUUAUAUAGAAUAUUCAUCAAAGCUAUUAUUUUAAAUUAAUGAUUUAGUGACUCAGCUCAAAACAAAUAAUACAUCAAUGAUAAUUUAGUUUAAACUUAAUAAAAAUAUGACAAAUAAGCAAAAUUAGCUAAAAUCAUGGAGAACAUGACAAGUAAGCAAAAUCACUUCAUAAAUAAUAAUAUUAUUUUAAAUUAAUGAUUUAGUGACUCAGCUCAAAACAAAUAAUACAUCAAUGAUAAUUUAGUUUAAAUUUAAUAAAAAUAUGAUAAAUAAUCAAAAUUAGCUAAAAUCAUGGAAAACAUGACAAGUAAUCAAAAUCAAUUCAUAAAUAAUAGUAUAGAUUCUUCUUUGAUCAAUGUGAAAUCUAUUUUAUAUUUUCCUUUUGACUGACUUUACAUCUAAUCUCAAGUCUUACUUCUCUUUGUUUUAAUGUCCUCCACCUAAACAAAGGACACAUCCAACUGUUUGGUCACUUUCACUCUUAUUUCUGGUCACAAGAGUCUUGUCCCGGAGAUUCCAGUUUGAUGCAAAGUCACAUAAGCAAACAACAAAAUCAAUAGCUUGGUGGUUUUGAUCAGUUCCAAAAAUGAAUUAUGGAAGAACAUCAAAUGCAUUGUGCAUUAAUCUGUAGACAAUUCUGAGACCUGAUUACGCAAGAGACUAAUUGGAAUCAUGUUGUUGAUACACAAACCAUAAUACAUUUUAACACUUGACAAAAAGUACAUGUUGAUAUGUCUGUCAGAUUACUACAAGAGUUUCUUUCACCAAUCUGCUUUGCUACCAAUGUACCCUAAAUAAGAUAAGUAAACAUAAUAAGUUAAAAAAAAAAAAA